AUUCUUUGGCCUUGUAGGUUAUAAGCGGUCACCAUCGGCAUUUGGAAAAAAUGCAAAAACUUUUAUUUGCCACACCAAUGUGAAGACGGGGAUGGUUGAGGCUUGGAUUCGAUCAUAUUGAUUCAUGUGAAACACAUCCAGCGUUUCACACUUGUAAACUUUCUGUACCCUUAUAGACCACACACCGAACCCAUCACACUCGACUUGCCUCCAGAAUUAUUUUCCCAUCCAUGCCUAAAAUCACUUACUUUUGGUCGGUAUAACAUAGAAACUCCACAUGCUUUUGACAACUG
rnacentral:lncRNA from 1 species